rnacentral:rRNA from 1 species
AGAUUAAACUGAAGAGUUUGAUCCUGGCUCAGAUUGAACGCUAGCGGCAUGCUUAACACAUGCAAGUCGAACGGCAGCACGAGGAGCUUGCUCCUUGGUGGCGAGU